rnacentral:lncRNA from 1 species
CCUCCCUGCUCCCUCCUGUUCUGUUGUUUGUCACAGGUCACCUGCAGCCAGGCUGUGCUGCAUCAGUGCCUGCACGGUUCCCACUGCAGGAUGCUCUGAGUGGCACGGGGGAUGAAGAUGAGAUAUACGAUGAUGUUGAGCCUGUUGAACCAGCCAGGAGAAGCCCAGGCCUUCGGUUGCCUUUUGUGUCCCAGCUGCCAGUGUGUCCCUGCCACAGAGGAGGUGGAAAUUCUGUCCGAGCCUCUAACAGGGUUACCUUGCUGGCUGCUACACAGAGAGAAUCCCAGGUCUCCCAGAAGAUGAAGACCAUGACACUCAAGGCAUGCAAGAAGGAAGAGAAGAUGGACAGGGGGUUUCAGAAGAAAUUCAAGGUGAGCAACAGCGAAUGAUCACUUU